rnacentral:rRNA from 1 species
UACGUAGGGGGCAAGCGUUGUCCGGAAUCAUUGGGCGUAAAGCGCGUGUAGGCGGCCCGGUAAGUCCGCUGUAAAAGUCCAGGGCUCAACCCUGGAAAGCCGGUGGAUACUGUCGGGCUCGAGUCCGGAAGAGGCGAGUGGAAUUCCUGGUGUAGCGGUGAAAUGCGCAGAUAUCAGGAGGAACACCGGUGGCGAAGGCGGUUCUCUGGGCCUUACCUGACGCUGAGGAGCGAAAGCGUGGGGAGCAAACAGG